AUUGAACGCUGGCGGCAGGCCUAACACAUGCAAGUCGAGCGGAUGAAGGAAGCUUGCUCCUGGCUGCUGCGGCGGACGGGUGAGUAAUUACUAGGAAUAUGACCGGUCGAGAGGGCUAAGGUAAGGUAACGGACGCUAAUAUCGUAUAGGAUCAGAGGUAGAAAGUGGGGGUUCAUCGGACCUAACGCUAUUAGCUGAGCCUGCGUCGGAUUAGCUAGUUGGUUGGGUAAAGGCGUACCAAGGCGACGAUCCAUAACUGGUCUGAGAGGAUGAUCAGUCACACUGGAACUGAGACACGGUCCAGACUCCUACGGGAGGCAGCAGUGGGGAAUAUUGGACAAUGGGCGAAAGCCUGAUGCAGCCAUGCCGCGUGUGUGAAGAAGGUCUUCGGAUUGUAAAGCUCUGUAAGUAGGGAGGAAGAUAAGUAUGAUUAACCCUUGCUGUCUUGACGGUACCAACAGAGAAAGCACCGGCUAACUUCGUG
rnacentral:rRNA from 1 species